ACACUUGAUGCAUUUCACCUGGCAAGAGGCUUUCUCAAAAAAAAAAAAAACACUUUUGAGAAAAUCUCUUGCCAGGUGAAAUGUGUUAAGUGU